CACGUAGGGCGCAAGCGUUGUCCGGAAUCAUUGGGCGUAAAGCGCGCGUAGGCGGCCCAGUAAGUCCGUUGUAAAAGUCAAAGGCUCAACCUUUGAAAGCCGAUGGAUACUGCAGGGCUAGAGUCCGGAAGAGGCGAGUGGAAUUCCAGGUGUAGCGGUGAAAUGCGUAGAUAUCUGGAGGAAUACCGGUGGCGAAGGCGGCAUCCUGGACCGACGUUGACGCU
rnacentral:rRNA from 1 species